rnacentral:rRNA from 1 species
UGGCGAACGGGUGAGUAACACGUGGGUGAUCUGCCCUGCGCUCUGGGAUAAGCCUGGGAAACUGGGUCUAAUACCGGAUAGGACCAUGCUUUAGUGUGUGUGGUGGAAAGUUUUCUCGGUGUAGGAUGAGCCCGCGGCCUAUCAGCUUGUUGGUGGGGUAAUGGCCUACCAAGGCGGCGACGGGUAGCCGGACUGAGAGGUUGGUCGGCCACAUUGGGACUGAGAUACGGCCCAG